CUUCUACCUACCCUUGGAACCUAGCAAUGAUGUGACAUUCCUCAAACUCCUAGGCAGACAAUGUGAAAGAUUAUAAGCCAGGGUAGGAAAAGAGGGAAAAGCAGACACCAAGCAGUUACAGAUCAGGUUGUGGGCAUGUGUGUAGCAUGCUUCUGGGGAAGUCCCCAAAAUACGUUCGGGACACUUGAAAAUGUGCUAAUUUCUAGUCAGCAAAACAGUUGGGGCCAGGCAUGGUGGCUCACACCUGUAAUCCCAGCACUUUGGGAGGCUGAGGUGGGUGGGUCACCUGAGGUCAGGAGUUUGAGACCAGCCUGGAUAACAUGGUGAAACCCUGUCUCUACUACAAGUACAAGAAGUAGCUGAGCAUGGUGGUAGGCACCUGUAAUCCCAGCUACUUGGGAGGCUGAGACAGGAGAAUCGCUUGAACCCAGUAGGCACAGAGGUUGCAGUGAGCCAAGAUCACACCAUUGCACUCAAGCCU
rnacentral:lncRNA from 1 species